AUACUUACCUGGCAGGGAAGACAACCAUGAUCAGGAAGGUGGUUUUUCCAGGGCAAGGCUCAUCCAUUGCACUUGGGAUGUGCUGACCCCUGCAAUAUCCCCAAAUGCGGGAAACUCAGCUGCAUAAUUUGUGGUAGUGGGGGACUGUGUUUGCACUCUCCCCUU
rnacentral:snRNA from 1 species